ACCCACUCCAGUGUUCUUGCCUGGAGAAUCCUAGGGACGGUGGAGCUUGGUGGGCUGCUGUCUAUGGGGUCGCACAGAGUUGGACAUGACUGAAGAGACUUAGCAGCAGUAGCAGCAGCAGGGUGCAAUAGUUUAGGAGCUCAGAACAUUUGGUUACUGCAAUCUAAAGUGGGCAAAAAGUUACUGUUAAAGUAUCAGUAUGAGAACAAAAGCUUGAGUAGCAUCAUUUGACAGAGCAGUUUUUAAAGAGCCCAACAGGCAGUUGGAGUCACACCAGGUGAAUGUGCGGCCCAGAAAAGAAACUGCAGGCUCAUGUCCUUCCUCAACUUGCCAUGAGCAGCCAUGAGCAGUCAGUGCUUUGAGAGAAAAGGUGAAACCUCUUCUGGGGAGGAAGCCCAGCCCUACCCUCCUGAUCUUGUUUCUGCAUGUCAGGCUCAUCACCGUGAACCCUGAGAUUCUCUCAGGAUCAGAAUGUGCCUUGGAACCCAGGCCUGUACAUUGCCUUCAGUCAGCAGCUUCACGAAGAUCCUCCCCUUUCAUCUCUGCUGGGGGCCCCUGGACUAGCCUGGCCUGUCCACCCCAGGCCCCUCCACCCCAGCAAUACCCUGCGCUGGAUCCCUCAGGCCCUUCGCGCCUGCAGCUCCAAUAUAUCCAUCACACAGUGUUGGGGUGACAGUACCGUACCUUUAGAGCACCUGACGUAGGGUUGAAAACACCCUUGGUCCACUUCAGAGAAUGGGAAGAGUUUCACUUGGCAUGAAGUGCUCUCUGCCACUGUUACUUGCUCUCCUAAACAAAAAACCUUACGAGAGUAAGGAGCCCCAGGAAGCAGGGGCAGAAUCAGGCCACCCAGCUCUGACCAUCUCACUGAGCCACCUGCGGAAGACCAAGCAGCCUGCUAAGGGAUGGCCUUCCAUGUGCCUGCAGUCUCCUGCUGCUGUCGGGAUCUCCACACAGCCAACAUGGGGAUGUUUUAACCUGAUGCGUGGUAUUCCUCCUGACUCCUUCCAGAUUGUUUGAUGCAUGUGUUUGGAGCAGGCUGGGCUGGGUUUUUAGUCUCACCUCAUUUCAACUCACCUGUCAGUGCUGUGGGUUAGGGGCCAGGUUGUUAGCCCACACACUCUGGGCUCCCUUAUCUACCCCUGGACUGAGGACUGAAUAAUCCUGUGAGGAGUUCGGCAUUGUCCCCAUUAUGAACAUCAUUGUUAUCACCAGAGUAAUGGAAAUUCUAGAAUGCCAGUUCUUUUCUGGGGAACUGGGGAUUGGUGGACUCACCCUGAAACCUUGCUCUUCUCUCCUGGAGGUCCUGCUGAGCAGGGAGGCAGGGUCCUAAGAAAGGGUGUUCCGUACCCCUGGGCUUGGGCCAUCACUCUUCACUUGUGAACUCCUGCCCGUGUGCCAGGAGUCGGGGAUGUGGUCCUACAGGACUGUGUCAGGCGCUCUCCUUGCCAGCCUUAUUAGAGGCCACACACCUGGCUCUGAACUCUUCCUCAGAGAAUGAGGCCAGCUUUUGCCUGAAUCUGUAAUUCUGGAACUUGAUUAUGUGUCUCUUAUUCAGAUUUAUGGGCUCAACACCAAACCUUAAUCCAAGUCUGGGACCUGGACCGAAGAGUCUGCAUCUUCAAUCUCAUCCCAAUUUACUAUUCUGAUACAGGUGUUCCUGUCCAAAUACUGAGAAACCUGGGAGAAGGGAGUUAGAGGGCCCCAGAAGCUAUAGGCCCGACUUUAGAGGGCCCCUGGGGGCCUCACCGUGUAGUUGCUUGUGGGUGGGGGCAUCUCCCAUAACCAAGUCUCUGGAGCCCAUGCCUAGGCCUGCUUGCUGACCCAGAAGCUGUGGGCACUGCCUGCCGCAUAGUGACUGCAUUAUCUCUGCCGACAACAGGCGGUGAAGCCUGACUCAAGAAGAACCUCACCUCUGCCUCUGGGGACAGCAGCCACAACCAGGCCUGCCAGGAAUCCCUGGCACUGGGAGGGCCUAUUGAGGGUACCGGCAACACCAAGAAAAGCCAGAAGAUAACGUCAGUCUCCUUAGCAGCCAUUAGAA